UCCUACGGGAGGCAGCAGUGGGGAAUAUUGCGCAAUGGAGGAAGCUUUGACGCAGCAACGCCGCGUGAAGGAUGAAGGUCUUCGGAUUGUAAACUUCUUUGAUGAGGGACGAAGGAAGUGACGGUACCUCAAAAACAAGCCACGGCUAACUACGUGCCAGCAGCCGCGGUAAUA
rnacentral:rRNA from 1 species